CCUACGGGCGGCAGCAGUGGGGAAUAUUGCACAAUGGGCGCAAGCCUGAUGCAGCCAUGCCGCGUGUGUGAAGAAGGCCUUCGGGUUGUAAAGCACUUUCAGCGGGGAGGAAGGCGUUAAGGUUAAUAACCUUGGCGAUUGACGUUACCCGCAGAAGAAGCACCGGCUAACUCCGUGCCAGCAGCCGCGGUAAUACGGAGGGUGCAAGCGUUAAUCGGAAUUACUGGGCGUAAAGCGCACGCAGGUGGUCUGUCAAGUCGGAUGUGAAAUCCCCGGGCUCAACCUGGGAACUGCAUUCGAAACUGGCAGGCUAGAGUCUUGUAGAGGGGGGUAGAAUUCCAGGUGUAGCGGUGAAAUGCGUAGAGAUCUGGAGGAAUACCGGUGGCGAAGGCGGCCCCCUGGACAAAGACUGACGCUCAGGUGCGAAAGCGUGGGGAGCAAACAGGAUUAGAUACCCUAGUAGUC
rnacentral:rRNA from 1 species